rnacentral:rRNA from 1 species
GUGAAGGUGCUGCAUGGUUGUCGUCAGCUCGUGCCGUGAGGUGUCGGCUUAAGUGCCAUAACGAGCGCAACCCUUGUUGUCAGUUACUAACAGGUCAUGCUGAGGACUCUGACAAGACUGCCAUCGUAAGAUGUGAGGAAGGUGGGGAUGACGCCAAGUCAGCACGGCCCUUACGUCCGGGGCUACACACGUGUUACAAUGGGGGGUACAGAGGGCCGCUACCACGCGAGUGGAUGCCAAUCCCAAAAACCUCUCUCAGUUCGGACUGGAGUCUGCAACCCGACUCCACGAAGCUGGAUUCGCUAGUAAUCGCGCAUCAGCCACGGCGCGGUGAAUACGUUCCCGGGCCUUGUACACACCGCCCGUCAAGCCAUGGGAGCCGGGGGUACCUGAAGUGCGUAACCGCGAGGAGCGCCCUAGGGUAAAACUGGUGACUGGGGCUAAGUCGUAACAAGGUAGCCGUACCGGAAGGUGCGGCUGGAUCACCUC